rnacentral:rRNA from 1 species
UACGUAGGGGGCAAGCGUUGUCCGGAUUUAUUGGGCGUAAAGAGCGUGUAGGCGGCCAAGCAGGUCCGCUGUGAAAACUCGAGGCUCAACCUCGAGACGUCGGUGGAAACCGUUUGGCUAGAGUCCGGAAGAGGAGAGUGGAAUUCCCGGUGUAGCGGUGAAAUGCGCAGAUAUCAGGAGGAACACCGGUGGCGAAGGCGGGUCUCUGGGCCGAUACUGACGCUGAGGAGCGAAAGCGUGGGGAGCGAACAGG